ACUAAGCGUACACGGUGGAUGCCCUGGCAGUCAGAGGCGAUGAAGGACGUGCUAAUCUGCGAUAAGCGUCGGUAAGGUGAUAUGAACCGUUAUAACCGGCGAUUUCCGAAUGGGGAAACCCAGUGUGAUUCGUCACACUAUCAUUAACUGAAUCCAUAGGUUAAUGAGGCGAACCGGGGGAACUGAAACAUCUAAGUACCCGAGGAAAAGAAAUCAACCGAGAUUCCCCCAGUAGCGGCGAGCGAACGGGGAGCAGCCCAGAGCCUGAAUCAGUGUGUGUGUUAGUGGAAGCGUCUGGAAAGGCGUGCGAUACAGGGUGACAGCCCCGUACACAAAAAUGCACAUAUUGUGAGCUCGAUGAGUAGGGCGGGACACGUGGUAUCCUGUCUGAAUAUGGGGGGACCAUCCUCCAAGGCUAAAUACUCCUGACUGACCGAUAGUGAACCAGUACCGUGAGGGAAAGGCGAAAAGAACCCCGGCGAGGGGAGUGAAAAAGAACCUGAAACCGUGUACGUACAAGCAGUGGGAGCACGCUUAGGCGUGUGACUGCGUACCUUUUGUAUAAUGGGUCAGCGACUUAUAUUCUGUAGCAAGGUUAACCGAAUAGGGGAGCCGAAGGGAAACCGAGUCUUAACUGGGCGUUAAGUUGCAGGGUAUAGACCCGAAACCCGGUGAUCUAGCCAUGGGCAGGUUGAAGGUUGGGUAACACUAACUGGAGGACCGAACCGACUAAUGUUGAAAAAUUAGCGGAUGACUUGUGGCUGGGGGUGAAAGGCCAAUCAAACCGGGAGAUAGCUGGUUCUCCCCGAAAGCUAUUUAGGUAGCGCCUCGUGAAUUCAUCUCCGGGGGUAGAGCACUGUUUCGGCAAGGGGGUCAUCCCGACUUACCAACCCGAUGCAAACUGCGAAUACCGGAGAAUGUUAUCACGGGAGACACACGGCGGGUGCUAACGUCCGUCGUGAAGAGGGAAACAACCCAGACCGCCAGCUAAGGUCCCAAAGUCAUGGUUAAGUGGGAAACGAUGUGGGAAGGCCCAGACAGCCAGGAUGUUGGCUUAGAAGCAGCCAUCAUUUAAAGAAAGCGUAAUAGCUCACUGGUCGAGUCGGCCUGCGCGGAAGAUGUAACGGGGCUAAACCAUGCACCGAAGCUGCGGCAGCGACACUAUGUGUUGUUGGGUAGGGGAGCGUUCUGUAAGCCUGUGAAGGUGUACUGUGAGGUAUGCUGGAGGUAUCAGAAGUGCGAAUGCUGACAUAAGUAACGAUAAAGCGGGUGAAAAGCCCGCUCGCCGGAAGACCAAGGGUUCCUGUCCAACGUUAAUCGGGGCAGGGUGAGUCGACUCCUAAGGCGAGGCCGAAAGGCGUAGUCGAUGGGAAACAGGUUAAUAUUCCUGUACUUGGUGUUACUGCGAAGGGGGGACGGAGAAGGCUAUGUUGGCCGGGCGACGGUUGUCCCGGUUUAAGCGUGUAGGCUGGUUUUCCAGGCAAAUCCGGAAAACUAAGGCUGAGGCGUGAUGACGAGGCACUACGGUGCUGAAGCAACAAAUGCCCUGCUUCCAGGAAAAGCCUCUAAGCAUCAGGUAACAUCAAAUCGUACCCCAAACCGACACAGGUGGUCAGGUAGAGAAUACCAAGGCGCUUGAGAGAACUCGGGUGAAGGAACUAGGCAAAAUGGUGCCGUAACUUCGGGAGAAGGCACGCUGAUAUGUAGGUGAAGUCCCUCGCGGAUGGAGCUGAAAUCAGUCGAAGAUACCAGCUGGCUGCAACUGUUUAUUAAAAACACAGCACUGUGCAAACACGAAAGUGGACGUAUACGGUGUGACGCCUGCCCGGUGCCGGAAGGUUAAUUGAUGGGGUCAGCGCAAGCGAAGCUCUUGAUCGAAGCCCCGGUAAACGGCGGCCGUAACUAUAACGGUCCUAAGGUAGCGAAAUUCCUUGUCGGGUAAGUUCCGACCUGCACGAAUGGCGUAAUGAUGGCCAGGCUGUCUCCACCCGAGACUCAGUGAAAUUGAACUCGCUGUGAAGAUGCAGUGUACCCGCGGCAAGACGGAAAGACCCCGUGAACCUUUACUAUAGCUUGACACUGAACAUUGAGCCUUGAUGUGUAGGAUAGGUGGGAGGCUUUGAAGUGUGGACGCCAGUCUGCAUGGAGCCGACCUUGAAAUACCACCCUUUAAUGUUUGAUGUUCUAACGUUGACCCGUAAUCCGGGUUGCGGACAGUGUCUGGUGGGUAGUUUGACUGGGGCGGUCUCCUCCUAAAGAGUAACGGAGGAGCACGAAGGUUGGCUAAUCCUGGUCGGACAUCAGGAGGUUAGUGCAAUGGCAUAAGCCAGCUUGACUGCGAGCGUGACGGCGCGAGCAGGUGCGAAAGCAGGUCAUAGUGAUCCGGUGGUUCUGAAUGGAAGGGCCAUCGCUCAACGGAUAAAAGGUACUCCGGGGAUAACAGGCUGAUACCGCCCAAGAGUUCAUAUCGACGGCGGUGUUUGGCACCUCGAUGUCGGCUCAUCACAUCCUGGGGCUGAAGUAGGUCCCAAGGGUAUGGCUGUUCGCCAUUUAAAGUGGUACGCGAGCUGGGUUUAGAACGUCGUGAGACAGUUCGGUCCCUAUCUGCCGUGGGCGCUGGAGAACUGAGGGGGCUGCUCCUAGUACGAGAGGACCGGAGUGGACGCAUCACUGGUGUUCGGGUUGUCAUGCCAAUGGCACUGCCCGGUAGCUAAAUGCGGAAGAGAUAAGUGCUGAAAGCAUCUAAGCACGAAACUUGCCCCGAGAUGAGUUCUCCCUGACUCCUUGAGAGUCCUGAAGGAACGUUGAAGACGACGACGUUGAUAGGUCGGGUGUGUAAGCGCAGCGAUGCGUUGAGCUAACCGGUACUAAUGAACCGUGAGGCUUAACC
rnacentral:rRNA from 1 species